GACGAACGCUGGCGGCGUGCUUAACACAUGCAAGUCGAACGGAAAGGCCCUGCUUUUGUGGGGUGCUCGAGUGGCGAACGGGUGAGUAACCCGUGAGUAACCUGCCCUUGACUUUGGGAUAACUUCAGGAAACUGGGGCUCAUACCGGAUAGGAGCUCCUGCUGCAUGGUGGGGGUUGGAAAGUUUCGGCGGUUGGGGAUGGACUCGCGGCUUAUCAGCUUGUUGGUGGGGUAGUGGCUUACCAAGGCUUUGACGGGUAGCCGGCCUGAGAGGGUGACCGGCCACAUUGGGACUGAGAUACGGCCCAGACUCCUACGGGAGGCAGCAGUGGGGAAUAUUGCACAAUGGGCGGAAGCCUGAGGCAGCAACGCCGCGUGCGGGAUGACGGCCUUCGGGUUGUAAACCGCUUUCGCCUGUGACGAAGCGUGAGUGACGGUAAUGGGUAAAGAAGCACCGGCUAACUACGUG
rnacentral:rRNA from 1 species